rnacentral:rRNA from 1 species
ACGGAGGGUGCAAGCGUUAUCCGGAUUUACUGGGUUUAAAGGGUGCGUAGGUGGGUAGGUAAGUCAGUGGUGAAAUCUUCAAGCUUAACUUGGAAACUGCCAUUGAUACUAUUUAUCUUGAAUACUUUGGAGGUAAGCGGAAUAUGUCAUGUAGCGGUGAAAUGCUUAGAUAUGACAUAGAACACCAAUUGCGAAGGCAGCUUACUACACAGUGAUUGACACUGAGGCACGAAAGCGUGGGGAUCAAACAGGAUUAGAUACCCUGGUAGUCCACGCCCUAAACGAUGGAUACUCGACAUUAGCGAUAUACAGUUAGUGUCUGAGCGAAAGCAUUAAGUAUCCCACCUGGGAAGUACGAUCGCAAGAUUG